AUUGAACGCUGGCGGCAGGCCUAACACAUGCAAGUCGAGCGGAUGAAGGGAGCUUGCUCCUGGAUCCAGCGGCGGACGGGUGAGUAAUGCCUAGGAAUCUGCCUGGUAGUGGGGGAUAACGUCCGGAAACGGGCGCUAAUACCGCAUACGUCCUGAGGGAGAAAGUGGGGGAUCUUCGGACCUCACGCUAUCAGAUGAGCCUAGGUCGGAUUAGCUAGUUGGUGGGGUAAAGGCCUACCAAGGCGACGAUCCGUAACUGGUCUGAGAGGAUGAUCAGUCACACUGGCACUGAGACACGGUCCAGACUCCUACGGGAGGCAGCAGUGGGGAAUAUUGGACAAUGGGCGAAAGCCUGAUCCAGCCAUGCCGCGUGUGUGAAGAAGGUCUUCGGAUUGUAAAGCACUUUAAGUUGGGAGGAAGGGCAGUAAGUUAAUACCUUGCUGUUUUGACGUUACCAACAGAAUAAGCACCGGCUAACUUCGUG
rnacentral:rRNA from 1 species